rnacentral:rRNA from 1 species
GGGAGCGAAGCAAUUGGAAGUGGUUCCAAGAAAAGCCUCUAAGCUUCAGUCUAACGAUGACCGUACCGCAAACCGACACAGGUGGGCGAGAUGAGUAUUCUAAGGCGCUUGAGAGAACUCGGGAGAAGGAACUCGGCAAAUUGGUACCGUAACUUCGGGAUAAGGUACGCCCUUGUAGCUUGACUGGCCUGCGCCAGGAGGGUGAAGGGGUUGCAAUAAACUGGUGGCUGCGACUGUUUAAUAAAAACACAGCACUCUGCAAACACGAAAGUGGACGUAUAGGGUGUGACGCCUGCCCGGUGCCGGAAGAUUAAAUGAUGGGGUGCAAGCUCUUGAUUGAAGUCCCGGUAAACGGCGGCCGUAACUAUAACGGUCCUAAGGUAGCGAAAUUCCUUGUCGGGUAAGUUCCGACCUGCACGAAUGGCGUAACGAUGGCCACACUGUCUCCUCCCGAGACUCAGCGAAGUUGAAGUGUUUGUGAUGAUGCAAUCUACCCGCGGCUAGACGGAAAGACCCCAUGAACCUUUACUGUAGCUUUGCAUUGGACUUUGAACCGAUCUGUGUAGGAUAGGUGGGAGGCUAUGAAACCGGAACGCUAGUUUCGGUGGAGCCGUCCUUGAAAUACCACCCUGGUUUGUUUGAGGUUCUAACCUUGGCCCGUGAUCCGGGUCGGGGACAGUGCAUGGUAGGCAGUUUGACUGGGGCGGUCUCCUCCCAAAGCGUAACGGAGGAGUACGAAGGUACGCUAGGUACGGUCGGAAAUCGUGCUGAUAGUGCAAUGGCAUAAGCGUGCUUAACUGCGAGACCGACAAGUCGAGCAGGUGCGAAAGCAGGUCAUAGUGAUCCGGUGGUUCUGUAUGGAAGGGCCAUCGCUCAACGGAUAAAAGGUACUCUGGGGAUAACAGGCUGAUACCGCCCAAGAGUUCAUAUCGACGGCGGUGUUUGGCACCUCGAUGUCGGCUCAUCUCAUCCUGGGGCUGUAGCCGGUCCCAAGGGUAUGGCUGUUCGCCAUUUAAAGAGGUACGUGAGCUGGGUUUAAAACGUCGUGAGACAGUUUGGUCCCUAUCUGCCGUGGGCGUUGGAUAUUUGAAGGGGGCUGCUCCUAGUACGAGAGGACCGGAGUGGACGAACCUCUGGUGUACCGGUUGUCACGCCAGUGGCAUCGCCGGGUAGCUAUGUUCGGAAGAGAUAACCGCUGAAAGCAUCUAAGCGGGAAACUCGCCUUAAGAUGAGAUAUCCCUGGGGACUAGAUCCCCUUGAAGGGUCGUUCGAGACCAGGACGUUGAUAGGUCAGGUGUGUAAGCGCAGUAAUGCGUUCAGCUAACUGAUACUAAUUGCCCGUAAGGCUUGAUCCUAUAACG